rnacentral:rRNA from 1 species
GUGGGGAAUAUUGCGCAAUGGGGGAAACCCUGACGCAGCAACGCCGCGUGAUUGAAGAAGGCCUUCGGGUUGUAAAGAUCUUUAAUUCGGGACGAAAAAAAUGACGGUACCGAAAGAAUAAGCUCCGGCUAACUACGUGCCAGCAGCCGCGGUAAUACGUAGGGAGCAAGCGUUAUCCGGAUUUACUGGGUGUAAAGGGCGCGCAGGCGGGCUUGCAAGUUGGGAGUGAAAUCCCGGGGCUCAACCCCGGAACUGCUUUCAAAACUGUGAGUCUUGAGUGAUGGAGAGGCAGGCGGAAUUCCCAGUGUAGCGGUGAAAUGCGUAGAUAUUGGGAGGAACACCAGUGGCGAAGGCGGCCUGCUGGACAUUAACUGACGCUGAGGCGCGAAAGCGUGGGGAGCAAACAGGAUUAGAAACCCCAGUAGUCC